rnacentral:rRNA from 1 species
CAGUAGCCGCGGUAAUACGGAGGGAGCUAGCGUUGUUCGGAAUUACUGGGCGUAAAGCGCACGUAGGCGGCUUUGUAAGUUAGAGGUGAAAGCCUGGAGCUCAACUCCAGAAUUGCCUUUAAGACUGCAUCGCUUGAAUCCAGGAGAGGUGAGUGGGAUUCCGAGUGUAGAGGUGAAAUUCGUAGAUAUUCGGAAGAACACCAGUGGCGAAGGCGGCUCACUGGACUGGUAUUGACGCUGAGGUGCGAAAGCGUGGGGAGCAAACAGGAUUAGAUACCCCCGUAGUCCCUGUCUCUUAUAC